rnacentral:rRNA from 1 species
UGCGUAGGCGGAAUAUUAAGUCAGUGGUGAAAUCCUGCGGCUCAACCGUAGAACUGCCAUUGAUACUGAUAUUCUUGAAUGUAGUUGAGGUAGGCGGAAUGUGUAAUGUAGCGGUGAAAUGCUUAGAUAUUACACAGAACACCGAUUGCGCAGGCAGCUUACUAAACUAUGAUUGACGCUGAGGCACGAAAGCGUGGGGAGCAAACAGGAUUAGAUACCCUGGUAGUC